CGGAGGAAAAGAAACCAACUGGGAUUACCUUAGUAACGGCGAGUGAGCGGUAAAAGCUCAAAUUUGAAAUCUGGUACUUUCAGUGCCCGAGUUGUAAUUUGUAGAAUUUGUCUUUGAUUAGGUCCUUGUCUAUGUUCCUUGGAACAGGACGUCAUAGAGGGUGAGAAUCCCGUUUGGCGAGGAUACCUUUUCUCUGUAAGACUUUUUCGAAGAGUCGAGUUGUUUGGGAAUGCAGCUCAAAGUGGGUGGUAAAUUCCAUCUAAAGCUAAAUAUUGGCGAGAGACCGAUAGCGAACAAGUACAGUGAUGGAAAGAUGAAAAGAACUUUGAAAAGAGAGUGAAAAAGUACGUGAAAUUGUUGAAAGGGAAGGGCAUUUGAUCAGACAUGGUGUUUUUUGCAUGCACUCGCCUCUCGUGGGCUUGGGCCUCUCAAAAAUUUCACUGGGCCAACAUCAAUUCUGGCAGCAGGAUAAAUCAUUAAGAAUGUAGCUACUUCGGUAGUGUUAUAGCUUUUUGGAAUACUGUUAGCCGGGAUUGAGGACUGCGCUUCGGCAAGGAUGUUGGCAUAAUGGUUAAAUGCCGCCCGUCUG
rnacentral:rRNA from 1 species